GUAGUACGCCCUGCGGCGUUGUGCGCAGGCGCGGAAGCUACAUCGGGAACUGUAGUUUCUUAAGACCCGAGGGAGGGUCAACACCGUUGCCAGUGAACUACGAGUCCCUUCGGCCAGUGCGAAGAAGGGCGGGUGAGCGGACCGGAGCGGGCCACGUAUUCCACAGGGUUUCCGCUGGGAGGGGGCGGGGCCCAGGGCCCAGGGCCACAUCGAGGGAUGCUAGCGCGCUCCCCGCCCUCCCACUUUCGACCCAGAGCACUCUGGGAGUUGUAGGUCCUGCGUGCCGCGGAACCCGUAUGUGGCUUCUGCCGGGGACACGGCCGCCAUUUUGUCUCCCCAUGUUUGGAAUUGAUGGUCCGAGUCUAGCGACAGAGCUGCUUCUCUGUGAUCAUGGGCCCUUCGGGGUGUGCCUCCCGCCGCUUCACCCCCGGCCUUCCGCACCCGGGAGAAGCCCCGCAGACUCCAAGCGGCGGGCACGCUCCUAACUUAAGAGGCCGGGUUCAGGCCCAGGGCCUGAGGCGAGGGCUACACUAGCUGGCCGAUGUGUUGGCAGCUUCCACGCUGCAGACGGUGCUGAACCGGGCUGGCUGCCCUUGGGGAUGAUUUUCGUACUAGUAUUGCGGUAUCCUUUCGUGCACAAAGGUUUUUAAUUUUAAUGGAGCCCGAUGAGGGAAGACCUGCCACAGGCCGCCGGGACAGCCUCCUCUGCCGCGCGCAGCAGGCUUUGCGCAGCACGCCCUGGCCCAGGUUCCUGAUGGUUAUUGCUGAAGGUCAUCUUGCAAUCAUAAUAAGAACCACAAGGGCUGGUCCAGCUGCAACACCGGUAUUGAUAAGCUCUGCACAAAGCAACUGGCGAAGUUGGCAGGAUUGCAUGAUUGCCCUUGCAAUUAACUGAGGGGAAUGUCUUCACCUGCAGCGUGCUUCCUAACAGCCUAACUCACGCAGCCACGCAAGCUAACGUGGGACAGCUUGAUCCGGACUUCAGAGAAACCACCCCAACAGUUCACGUAUGGACAGUGUUCACGCCUGUUGCCUGUGGGCCCCUCAGAAGGAUCACCAGAGACGUUCAAACUGCAAGCCAGGAAAAUCUGCCAGAUUGCCACUGCCUGCCCUCCCUCCUUAUGAAGACAUUUCGAGCCCUUGCUGUGAAGACCUAGAAGUCUCCUCCAUUGGCUGCCCUCAGGGCUCAGUCUGCGCCAGUCAUUCAUCUUUGUUGUACCGUGUCACAUCAUUGCAAGAAGUAGGCUGAGUAUAGUACAAUGAGGUAUUCUGAGAGAGAGGCCACAUUCAUAUAACUUUUUAAAAAAAUAUUUAUUUGAGAGAGAGCGAGCACAAGCACGAGUGGGGGAGGGGCAGAGGGAGAGGGAGAAGCAGACUCCCCGAUGAGCAGGGAGCCGGAUUCAGGAUCCCAGGGAUCACAAACUGAACCAAAGGCAGACGCUUAACUGCUGAGCCACCCAGGCGCCCCUCACAUAACUUUUAUUAUGGUUUAUUGUUAUGUUAUGUAUAAUUUAUAUAUUAUAAUACAGUAUAUUAGUACUAUUACUAUAACUUCUAUAAUUGUUCUAUUUUAUUAUUAGUUCCUGUUAAUCUCUUUGCCUGAUUUAUAGAUUAAAUCUUAUCCGAGGUAUAUACAUAUAGGAAAAGCAUAAUAUAUGUAGGGCUGGGUACUAUCUACAGUUUCAGGCAUCCACUAGAGGCCUUGGAGUGUGUCCCUGUGGAUAAGUUGGGGGGGGCUACUGUAGGCUUAACUUGGGAAGUCCACCUGCAUCACCACCUUCUGAAAUGAGACAUAACCUUUAAUUGAACUGACCUUUUCUCAGGACUCAGAACUGGUUCGAUGAGCUAUGGAACAAUUUACCAGCUCAGGACAGGUUCAAACCUGCUCACACUAUGUAGAGGCCACUUUCAGGUGACCAGCUUGAGCAGUGGAGGCCUGAAUAAGGCCCACAGUGACCCCCAUUUCCCUGGCUGACUGAAAACAGGUCCAUUAGGAAGCCCACUUCAAAAUACCCAUAAGCCCUAGCUAAACAAUGGGCUGCUUACUCCCAGACACAGGUACCCCAAAAGGAAAAUUCCAUACGUUCCCAUACCUCCUCACCUUCCCCUUUAUCUACAGCCCCCACCAUCCCCUCCACAGACAGCCUUUCCUCUGCUGUCCUGCCCUCCUCUGCUUCCCUGCGGUUUAUUCUAUCAACUUCUAUCUCCAUUGUUCUGCCUCCGGUGAAUCCUUUACCGCCUGAGCGGCCGGCCCUCGCCUGGGUCACCCCACACACUAAAUGGCCCAAGAUGUUAAAAUAUCUGGUAGUAUUACCCAAAACCCUGCACAGAUCACCUGAGCUGCCCCCCCCCCUUCAAGUUUGGGACGAUGGCUACAGACUACAUUCCAGACUACUGCCUGUGUAAUUUUUAUAGGAUUUGCUACCAUAAUCCUAUGUGGAAGUGCACUUUCUGUGUUACAACGUGCCCAACCCCACCUGCAGCCUGUUAGCUAGCCCCAUAGAGUCCUGGCGGACUUGGGGCGGAUCGGAGUGCGGAUCGGAGUGUGGAUCGGAGUGUAAGCCCUCACGGGCUUUUCCCUCUGUGGU